rnacentral:lncRNA from 1 species
CAUGUUACUGCGGUCAAGCAUAUUGCAAAUGUGUGACGAACUUCUCUGCCAUGCCAUCUGCUUCUCCCUGACCCAUGCCAGGCACCUGACAAGAGCUUCAUAUUUGUGUCAACUCAAGAUGACAGCAUUCCAGCCUUAAUGUUUUGAGUACCUCUCUGGGCAGCUCUUUGAUGUGAGGAAAUGGAGAAGCAACAGUGUCUGCUUGGGAAAAUGAGGGCGAAUGGCCAUAUCAAGGUGCUGCCUGCC